AAGUUCAUUAUUUUUUCUUCAUAAUUUGCAGUAAUAAAUAUAAAAUCAUUGACCUGAAAAAUCUAUUCUUAUUUCACUAUGCCAUGCUCAUUAUCACGAACUUUCAAUCAUAGAAAUUUCUUCGUUGUUGUUCUACAUUCAUCGAUGUUAUUUGAUUUUACUUGCGGAUGACCAUCAAUGCAUUGUGUUAAACCAUUAGAAAAAGACUUGAAUACUAUAAUAUAUCACUAUCAUAAUAGCAGCUCAUCAUUAAAAAACAGAUGCAAGACAUUUUACUGCUGCCUAAUGUCUUGGUAUCUAGAUCGAUUAUGUCAAGAACACGAUGAAUAACAUGUAUUUUCUUCAAAGAAAUGAACAGGCGAAUGAUAAUAAAAAAAAGUUAAUUC
rnacentral:sRNA from 1 species